AUGAGUUGUGAUGGGGUUUGAUGCUGGCAGCCAAUUUUUGGAUGCAUGUGCUCGCCCUAACAAUCAUCUUCCAAACACCUGUGCACAUUUUUGAGGGAGUUUUGAGUUGAUUUGCCGCUUUGGGGGCGAUUUUCUUGCAUUCCCUUAAAUCAUUAUACGCUAUUAACAAUGCUGAACGUGUACUGUGCCGCAAGGCCAUUAAUAUAAUA
rnacentral:misc_RNA from 1 species